rnacentral:rRNA from 1 species
AGAGUUUGAUCCUGGCUCAGGACGAACGCUGGCGGCGUGCCUAAUACAUGCAAGUCGAGCGCGGGAAGCGAGCGGAAGCCCUUCGGGGUGGACGCUCGUGGAACGAGCGGCGGACGGGUGGGUAACACGUGGGCAACCUGCCUGUAAGAUCGGAAUAACUCCGGGAAACCGGAGCUAAUGCCGGGUAACACCUUCUUUCGCAUGAAGGAAGGUUAAAAGAUGGCUUCUUGCUAUCACUUACAGAUGGGCCCGCGGCGCAUUAGCUAGUUGGUGAGAUAACAGCUCACCAAGGCGACGAUGCGUAGCCGACCUGAGAGGGUGAUCGGCCACACUGGGACUGAGACACGGCCCAGACUCCUACGGGAGGCAGCAGUAGGGAAUCUUCCGCAAUGGACGUAAGUCUGACGGAGCAACGCCGCGUGAACGAUGAAGGCUUUCGGGUCGUAAAGUUCUGUUGUCAGGGAAGAACAAGUACCGUGCGAAUAGCGCGGUACCUUGACGGUACCUGACGAGGAAGCCCCGGCUAACUACGUGCCAGCAGCCGCGGUAAUACGUAGGGGGCAAGCGUUGUCCGGAAUUAUUGGGCGUAAAGCGCGCGCAGGCGGUUCCUUAAGUCUGAUGUGAAAGCCCACGGCUCAACCGUGGAGGGUCAUUGGAAACUGGGGAACUUGAGGACAGAAGAGGAGAGUGGAAUUCCACGUGUAGCGGUGAAAUGCGUAGAUAUGUGGAGGAACACCAGUGGCGAAGGCGACUCUCUGGUCUGUUUCUGACGCUGAGGUGCGAAAGCGUGGGUAGCAAACAGGAUUAGAUACCCUGGUAGUCCACGCCGUAACGAUGAGUGCUAGGUGUUAGGGGGCUUCCACCCCUUAGUGCUGAAGUUAACGCAUUAAGCACUCCGCCUGGGGAGUACGGCCGCAGGCUGAAACUCAAAGGAAUUGACGG